AACCCUUAGGUAAGAAUGAGGGGUUGAAUGAGACCCUUCAUUCUUACCUAAGUUAAUGAGUCACAAUGGAGGCGUGGAGCCCCUGGGAGGAGGGGCACGCAAAACACCCAUUUAUAAAUGACAGAGCUGGGAUAAGAACCCAUUUCUCUCCCACAGUAAAGCCUAGACAUGCCCUUUCCAUGUUACCACACUUGGUCCCUAGAGCUGAAGAGGACACAAGUCAAGAGCAUUAAUUGGGUCCUCUUUCUGAAACUCCCUCCAUUUAUUGCAGUGGAACCUCCUGAGGAACAGAUUUGUGCUUGAGGUCCGGCAACAUGAGGCAGCUGAGGGACCAAAGGAGGCUGGACCCCUGG
rnacentral:lncRNA from 10 species